UACGUAGGGGGCAAGCGUUGUCCGGAAUUAUUGGGCGUAAAGGGCACGCAGGCGGUUUCUUAAGUCUGAUGUGAAAGCCCACGGCUCAACCGUGGAAGGUCAUUGGAAACUGAGGAACUUGAGUGCAGAAGAGGAGAGCGGAAUUCCACGUGUAGCGGUGAAAUGCGUAGAUAUGUGGAGGAACACCAGUGGCGAAGGCGGCUCUCUGGUCUGUAACUGACGCUGAGGUGCGAAAGCGUGGGGAGCGAACAGG
rnacentral:rRNA from 1 species